GAUGAACGCUGGCGGCGUGCUUAACACAUGCAAGUCGAACGAAGCACUUAAGAUUGAUUCUUCGGAUGACGUCUUUUGUGACUUAGUGGCGGACGGGUGAGUAACGCGUGGGUAACCUGCCUCACACAGGGGGAUAACAGUUAGAAAUGACUGCUAAUACCGCAUAACCCGAUAGGAUCGCAUGAUCCAGACGGAAAAGAUUUAUCGGUGUGAGAUGGACCCGCGUCUGAUUAGCUAGUUUGUGAGGUAACGGCCCACCAAGGCGACGAUCAGUAGCCGGACUGAGAGGGUGAACGGCCACAUUGGGAGUGGGACACGGACCAAACUCCUCCGGGAGGCAGCAGUGGGGAAUAUUGCACAAUGGGGGAAAGCCUGAUGCAGCGACGCCGCGUGAGUGAAGAAGUAUUUAGGUAUGUAAAGCUCUAUCAGCAGGGAAGACAAUGACGGUACCUGACUAAGAAGCCCCGGCUAACUACGU
rnacentral:rRNA from 1 species